UCCUUAUUUAAUUUUCUCUCAUAGAAUUCAGCUUAAUUGCACGAAUUCAUGUAGGAAAAGAAUAAGCCAAUUAUUCCUAUAAAAGAUGGCAUUGUUCCACAUUGUUCAUUGUUCUCUAAAGAUUUUGGUGUAGAACAAAGUAUUUUCUUCAAAGGGAACAAAGAUCCAGGCAGUACUGUUCAAUAAAAAUGUUGAAGAUUGGAAAAUUUUAUUUCAACAAAACAAAAGCUAUUACAUUAUAAAUGGUCGCGUGAAGGCUGCUAAUUCUAUCUAUUUAUCUAUGCACAAGGAGUUGGAAAUAUCUUUUAGCAAUUAUACUACAGUUACGGAAUGCACCAACCACUUUUCCACCACAAAAUUUUCGAAAAAAUUUUCUAUCUUUAGAAGAGGCAACAAAAUCCACCAUCGAAACAUUAUUUGGUGAUUUUUUUCUCGCCAUCUUUUGAUAAUAUUGGAUACUUUUAUUUUAUUGUAUUUAAGUUUCACAUUAAUUCCUUUUAAUAGUUACUUUGUAACU